GAUGAACGCUGGCGGCGUGCCUAAUACAUGCAAGUCGAGCGAACAGACGAGGAGCUUGCUCCUCUGACGUUAGCGGCGGACGGGUGAGUAACACGUGGAUAACCUACCUAUAAGACUGGGAUAACUUCGGGAAACCGGAGCUAAUACCGGAUAAUAUAUUGAACCGCAUGGUUCAAUAGUGAAAGACGGUUUUGCUGUCACUUAUAGAUGGAUCCGCGCCGCAUUAGCUAGUUGGUAAGGUAACGGCUUACCAAGGCAACGAUGCGUAGCCGACCUGAGAGAGUGAUCGGCCACACUGGAACGGAGACAGGGACCAGACGCCUACGAGAGGGAGCAGUAGGGAAUGUGCCGCAAUGGGCGAAAACCUGACGGAGCAGCGCGGCGUGAGUGAUGAAGGUCUUCGGAUCGUAAAACUCUGUUAUUGGGGGAAAACAGAUGUCUAAGUAACUAAACACUUAUUGACGGUAACUGAUAAGAAAGCCACGGCUAACUACGUG
rnacentral:rRNA from 1 species